rnacentral:lncRNA from 1 species
CUGUAACCCCAGCGCCUCGGAUUUAAUAAGCCCUCAAGUGUUUGGUAAUCGGAAUUAACCAGCGCUGAGAAUGACAACCCGCAGAGAAGCGCCGGUAGUGGCAACCAAACGUUUGUUUACUAUGUGCCUGCUGUUGCAUUUUACAUGGAUUAUCCAAAUCCUCUCUACAGUCUAGUGAGGCAUGUAUUUCUAAGUGGCCUUUUUUUUUUUUUUUUAAUUUCAGUCGAGGAAACUGAGGCACAGAAAGGAUAAUUUGCGGGCUGGGGUUGUGGCUCAGUGGUAGAGCGCUUGCCUAGCACGUGUGAGGUACUGGGUUCCAUCCUCUAGCACCACAUUAAAAAAAAAAAAAAAUGAAGUUGUGUCCACACACAACUAAAACAUAUUUAUUUUUUUUUCUUAAAGGAUAAUUUGCUCAAGAUCACAGAAUGAGCAUGCAGCAAGACUAAGAUUAAAGUAAAUUUCCUCUACACUUAACUAUAAUGAAGUAACAGUUUUUAGUUUAAACGGAUUAUAUAUGUCAAAUAUGGUCUAAUUAAUUGACUAAAAACUCUCCCAAUAUAUGCACAUUUAUGACUUCACAUUUGCAAACAUGUUCUGAGUGCUUACUUGCAUCUUCUUUGAUGUAUCAUUAUAUUGGAAAUUUUUCUUGCACAACAAUGUGAACAACUCUGAGGAUGCCAAAAAGAUAAACCUGUAAAGAGUAUUGAAAACUAAAUGGGCCAGUAAAGCAAAACAACAAAAUAAAACUGAAAGAUGAUUCACAG